GUGUAGGAGAAAGUAAAGGGAGAGUGAGAGAAUGGGGAGCGUCUGGAUUGGGGGCCGAUGGAAAGGGUCCCUAAACAUUUGAAGAUGUGUGAAGAUACCUUUCCCAGACCCCCAAUACCAAAGGCUUCCCACCUUCCCAUCCCUUCCUUCUCUCUGCAU